rnacentral:rRNA from 1 species
UGGGGAAUAUUGGACAAUGGGGGGCAACCCUGAUCCAGCGACGCCGCGUGAGUGAAGAAGUAUUUCGGUAUGUAAAGCUCUAUCGGCAGGGAAGAAAAAGCGCGCAAGCGCCCUUGACAGUACCUGAGUAAGAAGCCCCGGCUAACUACGUGCCAGCAGCCGCGGUAAUACGUAGGGGGCAAGCGUUAUCCGGAUUUACUGGGUGUAAAGGGAGCGUAGACGGCAGGGCAAGUCUGAAGUGAAAGGCGGGGGCUCAACCCCCGGACUGCUUUGGAAACUGUCCGGCUGGAGUGCAGGAGAGGUAAGUGGAAUUCCUAGUGUAGCGGUGAAAUGCGUAGAUAUUAGGAGGAACACCAGUGGCGAAGGCGGCUUACUGGACUGUAACUGACGUUGAGGCUCGAAAGCGUGGGGAGCAAACAGGAUUAGAUACCCUGGUAGU